GGAUUAGUGGCGAACGGGUGAGUAACACGUGAGUAACCUGCCCUUAACUCUGGGAUAAGCCUGGGAAACUGGGUCUAAUACCGGAUAGGAGCGCCUACCGCAUGGUGGGUGUUGGAAAGAUUUAUCGGUUUUGGAUGGACUCGCGGCCUAUCAGCUUGUUGGUGAGGUAAUGGCUCACCAAGGCGACGACGGGUAGCCGGCCUGAGAGGGUGACCGGCCACACUGGGACUGAGACACGGCCCAGACUCCUACGGGAGGCAGCAGUGGGGAAUAUUGCACAAUGGGCGCAAGCCUGAUGCAGCGACGCCGCGUGAGGGAUGACGGCCUUCGGGUUGUAAACCUCUUUCAGUAGGGAAGAAGCGAAAGUGACGGUACCUGCAGAAGAAGCACCGGCUAACUACGUGCCAGCAGCCGCGGUAAUACGUAGGGUGCGAGCGUUAUCCGGAAUUAUUGGGCGUAAAGAGCUCGUAGGCGGUUUGUCGCGUCUGUCGUGAAAGUCCGGGGCUUAACCCCGGAUCUGCGGUGGGUACGGGCAGACUAGAGUGCAGUAGGGGAGACUGGAAUUCCUGGUGUAGCGGUGGAAUGCGCAGAUAUCAGGAGGAACACCGAUGGCGAAGGCAGGUCUCUGGGCUGUAACUGACGCUGAGGAGCGAAAGCAUGGGGAGCGAACAGGAUUAGAUACCCUGGUAGUCCAUGCCGUAAACGUUGGGCACUAGGUGUGGUACCACUCCAC
rnacentral:rRNA from 1 species